rnacentral:rRNA from 1 species
GAUGAACGCUGGCGGCGUGCCUAAUACAUGCAAGUCGAGCGAACAGACGAGGAGCUUGCUCCUCUGACGUUAGCGGCGGACGGGUGAGUAACACGUGGAUAACCUACCUAUAAGACUGGGAUAACUUCGGGAAACCGGAGCUAAUACCGGAUAAUAUAUUGAACCGCAUGGUUCAAUAGUGAAAGACGGUUUUGCUGUCACUUAUAGAUGGAUCCGCGCCGCAUUAGCUAGUUGGUAAGGUAACGGCUUACCAAGGCAACGAUGCGUAGCCGACCUGAGAGGGUGAUCGGCCACACUGGAACUGAGACACGGUCCAGACUCCGACGGGAGGCAGCAGUAGGGAAUCUUCCGCAAUGGGCGAAAGCCUGACGGAGCAACGCCGCGGGAGUAUGAAGGUCUUCGGAUCGUAAAACUCUGUUAUUAGGGAAGAACAAAUGUGUAAGUAACUAUGCACGUCUUGACGGUACCUAAUCAGAAAGCCACGGCUAACUACGUG